UACGUAGGCAGCGAGCGUUGUUCGGAAUUACUGGGCGUAAAGAGUGUGUAGGCGGUGCUCUAAGUUCGGUGUGAAAUCUCCUGGCUUAACUGGGAGGGUGCGCUAUAGACUGUGGGACUAGAGUGUGGGAGAGGAAAGUGGAAUUCCUGGUGUAGCGGUGAAAUGCGUAGAUAUCAGGAGGAACACCGGUGGUGUAAACGGCUUUCUGGACCAUAACUGACGCUGAGGCACGAAAGCGUGGGUAGCAAACAGG
rnacentral:rRNA from 1 species